rnacentral:rRNA from 1 species
GCCUUUUUAGGUCUGGUAAUUGGAAUGAGUACAAUUUAAAUCCCUUAACGAGUAUCCAUUGGAGGGCAAGUCUGGUGCCAGCAGCCGCGGUAAUUCCAGCUCCAAUAGCGUAUAUUAAAGUUGUUGCAGUUAAAAAGCUCGUAGUUGGACUUUAGGCAAGGCGGCCUGGUCACCCUCUGGGUGUACUGGGUUCGCUGCGCCUCACCUUCGGGGAACUAGUCGUGCUUCGGUGCGCUAGGGAACCGAGCCUUA